UAGACGCCACCCACAGCUGCACCUGACGCCACUACUAGAGCUCUGCAGAGAGAGGAGCAAAAUAGAGCAGAGCGAGAGACAGUCCAACCAAAACGGAGCGGAAAGAGAGGAGGAGCAGAGUGAAAUUCAGCAGAGCGAGAGGAAGAGGACCUGUGCUAUGCUGUGCAUCAUCACUUGGCAGUGUUGGACCUAGUCUCACACAGAAUUUCCACACGUCCUAUCUUUCUUUCCCUGCUUGUGAGCUGCCACAGACACCAAUACCCUGAGAGCUUUCUGGACUCACUGAGACAUUUUAAUGAAUGAGCUUACAGAAAUAAGAAAAUAUCAGAAGAGAUCCUUAACUUUCCAAGAAAUGCAAGUAUGAAGACCAACCAUGUCUAAAUGACAGAUGGCACAUCAAUGGGAAGGAGAAGAGGCUUCUCUUAACCAGAAGAACAGAUCUACUCGGGAGAACAAAGAAGACCUUCAUCUAAGAUAGCCCAUUGACUGAAGAGGGCCCUCUAAUCCAAAGAACAUCCUGCUAGGAAAGGUUCAGCUCUUUCCAGAAGACCAACACAAGGGCAUCCAGAGCUGGAAGAGUAGCCUUGCUCAUGAGACUUUCAAUAAGCUGGUAGGGAAAGACCCUUCUCCGGAUAUAUCUUUAAUUAAAUUUUGGCACAGAUCUUGUAAUCUUUAACACAUUAGUUUAUUCUAUUUAUUAACAUGGAUCAGACGGAGUAGCUAUUUCGUCACACUUUUGGGUAGAGGUGUUCUACAGUUGUGACUCGUCCUGGAUGGUCAUGGUUCAUAUUGGGUGUUGAAACCAUCGCUUUAACCCGCUGGUGUCCAUGAAGAGGUUCGGCAGCCUGAGGAGGAGUAAGAAGCGGAAGGAGCAGGACCUGCUAGCGGCAGGAAGACGCCAGUCAGAGCCACCAUGUCUGCCUGUCUCCGGCCUCUCGUCUUCCCCCAGCACCCCCAGCCUGCACAUGCUGUUCCCUAAGGAGGUUCACCAGAGUGCCCCAGAGCGCCUGGAACGCUCCCUCUCAUCACCCCCACCAGACACCGGACAGCGCCUCAGCCUGCCGUCCUCUGCCAAGCCCCCCAUGUCCUCCUCCUCUCCGAUACCCUACGCUUUCCCACUGCCCCAAGCUACCUCACAGCCAAAUUUCUACGGUUUAUUCGAAGGCAUGCUGGAGAAACUUGACCUAAACGAUGAUGGUGUUGCUGCUGAACCAGACAGAGAUAUUUACAUGCGCUUUAUGAAGUCCCACUGCUGCUAUGACAUCGUUCCCACCAGCUCCAAGCUGGUCGUGUUCGACACGGGCCUACAGGUGAAGAAGGCGUUCUUUGCCUUAGUGGCCAAUGGGGUGCGUGCUGCCCCACUAUGGGAUUCAGAGAGGCAGUGUUUUGUGGGAAUGUUGACAAUCACAGACUUCAUCAUCAUACUACACAGAUACUACAAGUCACCGUUGGUGCAAAUAUAUGAGUUGGAAGAUCAUAAGCUUGAGACAUGGAGAGAAGUAUAUUUGCAAGAGACAUUCAAGCCUUUAGUGAACAUAUCACCCGAAUCAAGCAUAUUUGAUGCAGUCUAUUCCCUCAUUAAAAACAAGAUCCACCGGCUGCCUGUCAUCGACCCUGUGACGGGGAACCCACUUUACAUCCUCACACACAAGAGGAUCCUCAAGUUCCUACAGCUCUUUGUGCGUGAGAUGCCCAAGCCGGCUUUUAUGAAGCAGACUCUCGGAGAGCUGGGCAUCGGCACCUACAAGAACAUAGCCUUCAUCCACCCUGACACACCCAUCAUCAAGGCCCUGCAGAUCUUCGUAGAGAGGAGGGUGUCUGCCCUGCCUGUUGUGGACGUAUCUGGGAAAGUGGUGGAUAUUUACUCCAAAUUUGAUGUCAUAAACCUGGCAGCAGAGAAGACUUACAAUAACCUGGACAUCACAGUGACCCAGGCUCUGAGGCAUCGCUGCCAGUACUUUGAGGGGGUCAUGCAAUGCCACAAGCUGGACACACUGGAGACCAUUGUGGACAAGAUUGUCAAAGCAGAGGUCCACCGGCUGGUAGUGGUGGAUGAUCGCUCGGCCAUCGAGGGCAUCAUCUCCCUGUCUGACAUUCUGCAGGCCCUGGUGCUCAGCCCAGCAGGUAUAGAUGCUCAGCAUUCCUAACCCCCUCCUAAUACGACUCUUGGACCCUGAGCUCCCUCCCCGCCUUGCCCUGUCCUGCCCUGCCUCGCCCUCCUCACACAGAUGCCUGCAGAGAGGAGGGCCUCCUGGAGUGAGACGGGGGGGCUACUGCUGCUGGAAUCACAGAGGCUGUCCUACAAUAUAUAACUUGUAUUUUACAGGUAGCUGCCAAGAUAAAGGAAACACUUGAGUACGUUAGGGAUACAAAGUCUAUUGAAAGCAGGUGCUUCUAAACAGGUGUGGUUCCUGAGUUAAUUAAGCAGUUGACAUCCCAUCAUGCUUAGGGUCAUGUAUAAAAAUGCACAGUUGCCCGUUAUUUUCUUACCGUGGCUAAAAUAAGAGAUCUCAGUGACUUUGAGAGAGUGGUCUCAAAGGAGCAUAGGGGGUUUAAAGUGUGUGUGUGUCUCCAGUGACCAGAUGUCAACCCAAUUGAACACUUAUGGGAGAUUCUGGAGUGGCGCCUGAGACAGUGCUUUCCACAACCAUUAACAAAACACCAAAUGAUGGAAUUUCUCUUGGAAAAAUCCCUUCUAUAUAAUUCCAGACACUUGAAGUGUGCAUUGAAGCUAUUCUGGCGGCUCGUGUUGGCCCAAUGCCCUAUUAAUAUAUUGGUGUUUCCUUUAUUUGGACAGUUACCUUUACGUCCAGAGCCCUUCAUAUUGAUGCACUAGACUUUGAAACCAAAGGGCUGGGCUGGAUUGGACUGCUACUGGGGGGUAAAUGGCUUUAAUACUGGAGGACCAGCAUCUCUCUGUCUGAAUGGAACUGGACUUGAUUCACUGUGGGGAUGAGACAGUCUGAACUGUGGUUAUGUAUGUAUAUGAGGGCUAUAUACGUUUUGGUGUUUGUCUCAGUAUCAUGCUGCUCUGUCGUGUUAACAGUGCCUAGUCACUGGAUAGUUUCAAACCUUCAAUGAACAAGUAGAUUGACAGAUAUUGCCAAGGCAUCUUACUUGAUGAUACACACAAGCAUGUGUCUAAGUUCCCCACGGGAAAUAAUAACCUGUUUGUAUCGGUGGAGCUGGAAUGUACUGGACCACUAAAAGUGAUGGUUGAGUAAAUAACGUCAGUCUAUGUUCUAUGCUGUCAAACACAGACCAUUUAGACAAUAUAAUUGCAUUCUUCAUUUUAGUAUCAAAUGUGGCCAUAUUAUAGCAUGUUCUAUGAUAAGCCACAUGUUGCUAUAAUGAGUUGUUGUCCACACCCCUUUUAGGGGCUAUAUGCAGUCUCUCUGUCCAAUCCUUAGUCACAGUGCCUUUUGCUUGCCCUGCCCCUGACCAUGGAAGCAAACGCCAUUCUCUAACCAUAAUACAUCAAAACGAAGUGUUCUUGAAGAAUAAGCAAGAUCUUGUCAAAAAUGUGUUCUCAUUUAACCUGAAGGAGAAAUUGUAGGUGUUCAUGCUUUAUCUGGUUAUGAUUGGAGGAGUUUUGUUUGUAUAUGAGUAACAUGCUGUGAAGAGAGACAGAACAGGAAAAAGGCUUUAUUUUUGGGAUAUAUAUAUAUAUAUUUUGUAUUCAUUCUCGAUGACACUUGGGUUGAGAUUUAGAGCCAUUUAUUUUGUCCGCUUUAUGUACUUGAGCCAUGGAUCACUUCCAUCUCUAACAUCUAUAAAGCAAAAUGGUGGAUUCUGAACGGCUCUUGACCAGACUCCUGUGCUGUGGCCAGAGAAUACACCUCUGACAACUGAUCUCUAUUGUUUCACUGUAAAUAGGAACGUUUUCAGGAAAUGUGCCAGAGAAAGCUUUAUUUUUAUGUAACUUUAAAGAAAUCAUGUUAAAAUAACUGCAGUUUUAAUAUUAUUUUUGUAAAUAUAUUGUGGCAAAAUGAGCCAAUAUAAAUAAACCUACUUUGUAUUCAGAACAAGAUGUCCAUGUGCAAAGCAUGACACACGACACUA